CAAGUCGAACGGCAGCGCGGGGCAACCUGGCGGCGAGUGGCGAACGGAUGAGUAAUAUAUCGGAACGUACCCUGGAGUGGGGGAUAACGUAGCGAAAGUUACGCUAAUACCGCAUACGAUCUAAGGAUGAAAGUGGGGGAUCGCAAGACCUCAUGCUCCUGGAGCGGCCGAUAUCUGAUUAGCUAGUUGGUGGGGUAAAGGCCUACCAAGGCAUCGAUCAGUAGCUGGUCUGAGAGGACGACCAGCCACACUGGAACUGAGACACGGUCCAGACUCCUACGGGAGGCAGCAGUGGGGAAUUUUGGACAAUGGGCGCAAGCCUGAUCCAGCAAUGCCGCGUGAGUGAAGAAGGCCUUCGGGUUGUAAAGCUCUUUUGUCAGGGAAGAAACGGUGUGGGCUAAUAUCCCGCACUAAUGACGGUACCUGAAGAAUAAGCACCGGCUAACUACGUGCCAGCAGCCGCGGUAAUACGUAGGGUGCAAGCGUUAAUCGGAAUUACUGGGCGUAAAGCGUGCGCAGGCGGUUUUGUAAGUCUGUCGUGAAAUCCCCGGGCUCAACCUGGGAAUUGCGAUGGAGACUGCAAGGCUAGAAUCUGGCAGAGGGGGGUAGAAUUCCACGUGUAGCAGUGAAAUGCGUAGAGAUGUGGAGGAACACCGAUGGCGAAGGCAGCCCCCUGGGUCAAGAUUGACGCUCAUGCACNAAAGCGUGGGGAGCAAACAGGAUUAGAUACCCUGGUAGUCCACGCCCUAAACGAUGUCUACUAGUUGUCGGGUUUUAAUUAACUUGGUAACGCAGCUAACGCGUGAAGUAGACCGCCUGGGGAGUACGGUC
rnacentral:rRNA from 1 species